rnacentral:rRNA from 1 species
UACGUAGGGGGCAAGCGUUGUCCGGAAUCAUUGGGCGUAAAGAGCUCGUAGGCGGUCCGUCACGUCGGCUGUGAAAACCUGGGGCUCAACCCCGGGCCUGCAGCCGAUACGGGCGGACUAGAAUUCGGUAGGGGAGACUGGAAUUCCUGGUGUAGCGGUGAAAUGCGCAGAUAUCAGGAGGAACACCGGUGGCGAAGGCGGGUCUCUGGGCCGAUAUUGACGCUGAGGAGCGAAAGCGUGGGGAGCGAACAGG